UCCUAAACAAAAUUAAAAGGCAGAGAGGGUUUCUCAGAAACAUGUUCUACCACUGUAAUGUGGUUUCACCACUUCGGUCACAGGCAAAAACCUCCGAGUCCUCAGAAAGUUCACACGGAGGUCAGGGCUCACCUCCACACAGUGCCAUACUGCACAGCAAAGCUACGGCCCGGAGUGCUGAUUCUGGUAAACAUCCCUUCAAAAACACUGUGCCACCGCUGCUGAGCAGUGACCUCCUGUAUGAUCUCCUCCAGGAUCUGGGCAAGUUUUAGCCACGUCGUUGAAACAAAUAAAUGCCGUAGCAAGGGAAAAGGUUACUGUCUAUCUAAUGCAGAGCCCUCUGCAGGAAGAUAAAAAACCAUCCCUGCUCACCAGCACGUUCAAUCUCAGCAAUGAUCAGAGAAGAAGAUUUCUGUACCAACUGACACCCUGAUGUCUGUAAAAAAGGAGAUUUCAUCUGCUUGGAAAGUGAUUGUUUAUAUCCACCUGCACUUCUCCAUCAGAUCAGAGCUGGAUUAUGUCCCUUCUGGGCCAUGGGAGCAGAAUGGCAUCUGCAAGCAGCUCAGGGCUGCUGGUGAGAUCAGCUGCAAGGCUGGACUUGGCUGCUGGCUCCUUUGGGCUGUCUCUCUGACAUGCCCACAAUCACCUCUCCAAAGAUUUGCUCUAAGAAAGAGAGUGAUUGCCAUGGUAUCAAAGGAAAAAAUGUCAUGAACUCAACCAACAUCCUGGCAUCCGGCUUGGCCUAAUCCACCAUGUGCAUACCUGUGUGUGUGCGCGUGACUGCGGCCCAACCACGCUCACAGGAGGAUCACCAAGAGCCACACUGCAUGGCCCAACCACUGCGUCAGGACUUUGCAUGUGGUUGGCCUGUGCUCAGGGCCUCAUCUCCCAUCUGCAGGUGUGAAACCACAGACCUUCUCUGGGAAAACUGCUCACACAAACAGCACCGGCCUCCCCUUGGCUGACCGUCUGGAGAUACAAAAGUCUGCUUUCACGUCUCCCCAGAGCCCUUCUUCUCCAGGCUAAACAGCCCCAGCUCUCUCAGCCUGUCCUCAUAGCAGAAACUUCCCUUUGG